rnacentral:rRNA from 1 species
CAGCAGCUGCGGUAAUACGAAGGGGGCUAGCGUUGCUCGGAAUUACUGGGCGUAAAGGGCGCGUAGGCGGCACUGUUAGUCAGGCGUGAAAUUCCCGGGCUCAACCUGGGGACUGCGCUUGAUACGGCAGAGCUUGAGGAUGGAAGAGGGUCGUGGAAUUCCCAGUGUAGAGGUGAAAUUCGUAGAUAUUGGGAAGAACACCAGUGGCGAAGGCGACUGACUGGACAAGUAUUGACGCUGAGGUGCGAAAGCGUGGGGAGCAAACAGGAUUAGAUACCCCCGUAGUCCCUGUCUCUUAUAC